rnacentral:RNase_P_RNA from 1 species
AGGUAAGAGCUCACCGGCGCACAGGAGACUGUGCGGCCAUGUAAACCCUAUCCGGAGCAACACCGCAUAUGGGGGCAUAUGUCUGCUCGGCAGCCCCCGAAGGUGGCAUGGAGGUGCGCGGCAACGCGUACCCAAGAUAGAUGAUUGUUGUAAACAGAACUCGGCUUACGGGGGCGGUCGGCGC